rnacentral:rRNA from 1 species
ACUCCUACGGGAGGCAGCAGUGGGGAAUAUUGCACAAUGGGCGCAAGCCUGAUGCAGCCAUGCCGCGUGUGUGAAGAAGGCCUUCGGGUUGUAAAGCACUUUCAGUCGUGAGGAAGGUAGUGUAGUUAAUAGCUGCAUUAUUUGACGUUAGCGACAGAAGAAGCACCGGCUAACUCCGUGCCAGCAGCCGCGGUAAUACGGAGGGUGCGAGCGUUAAUCGGAAUUACUGGGCGUAAAGCGCAUGCAGGUGGUUUGUUAAGUCAGAUGUGAAAGCCCGGGGCUCAACCUCGGAAUAGCAUUUGAAACUGGCAGACUAGAGUACUGUAGAGGGGGUAGAAUUUCAGGUGUAGCGGUGAAAUGCGUAGAGAUCUGAAGGAAUACCGGUGGCGAAGGCGGCCCCCUGGACAGAUACUGACACUCAGAUGCGAAAGCGUGGGGAGCAAACAGGAUUAGAUACCCUGGUA